UACGAAGGGGGCUAGCGUUGCUCGGAAUCACUGGGCGUAAAGCGCACGUAGGCGGCUUCUUAAGUCAGGGGUGAAAUCCUGGAGCUCAACUCCGGAACUGCCUUUGAUACUGGGAGGCUCGAGUCCGGGAGAGGUGAGUGGAACUGCGAGUGUAGAGGUGAAAUUCGUAGAUAUUCGCAAGAACACCAGUGGCGAAGGCGGCUCACUGGCCCGGUACUGACGCUGAGGUGCGAAAGCGUGGGGAGCAAACAGG
rnacentral:rRNA from 1 species